CCUACGGGUGGCAGCAGUGGGGAAUAUUGCACAAUGGGGGAAACCCUGAUGCAGCGACGCCGCGUGAGUGAAGAAGUAAUUCGUUAUGUAAAGCUCUAUCAGCAGGGAAGAAAAUGACGGUACCUGAGUAAGAAGCCCCGGCUAACUACGUGCCAGCAGCCGCGGUAUUACGUAGGGGGCAAGCGUGAUCCGGAUUUACUGGGUGUAAAGGGCGCGUAGACGGCAGGGCAAGUCUGGAGUGAAAGGCGGGGGCUCAACCCCCGGACUGCUCUGGAAACUAUACGGCUGGAGUGCAGGAGAGGUAAGUGGAAUUCCUAGUGUAGCGGUGAAAUGCGUAGAUAUUAGGAGGAACCCCCGUGGCGAAGGCGGCUUACUGGACUGUAACUGACGUUGAGGCUCGAAAGCGUGGGGAGCAAACAGGAUUAGAUACCCGGGUAGUC
rnacentral:rRNA from 1 species